rnacentral:tRNA from 1 species
GCCCCGGUAGUGUAGCGGCCUAUCAUGCGGGCCUGUCGACAGCCCGCGACCCGGGUUCAAAUCCCGGCCGGGGCG